AAGUCGAACGGUAACAGGAAGCAGCUUGCUGCUUCGCUGACGAGUGGCGGACGGGUGAGUAAUGUCUGGGAAACUGCCUGAUGGAGGGGGAUAACUACUGGAAACGGUGGCUAAUACCGCAUAACGUCGCAAGACCAAAGAGGGGGACCUUCGGGCCUCUUGCCAUCAGAUGUGCCCAGAUGGGAUUAGCUUGUUGGUGAGGUAACGGCUCACCAAGGCGACGAUCCCUAGCUGGUCUGAGAGGAUGACCAGCCACACUGGAACUGAGACACGGUCCAGACUCCUACGGGAGGCAGCAGUGGGGA
rnacentral:rRNA from 1 species